rnacentral:SRP_RNA from 1 species
GCCGGGCGUGGUGGCUCAUGCCUGUAAUCCCAGCAUACUGGGAGGCCGAGGUGGGUGGAUCACCUGAGGUCAGGAGUUCAAGACCAGCCUGACCAACAUGGUGAAAUCCCAUCUCUA